ensembl:lncRNA
AUACCUGCAUCACCAGGGACACCAGCCUCGCACAUGACCCCAGAGGCACCCAUGACCCCAGAGGCACCCGUGGCCCCCUUGGUGACCGCACCAUCCAUGAUACUUCUGUCACUAACACCCGUGACACCAGGGGCACCCGCAACACUGAGGGCACUCACGGCACCUGUGACUCCUGCAACACCAAUGGCACCCAUGACUCCGGCGAUAAAGUUGCAGGAGAAACACACUGCCUCCCGCAUGUGCCUGGUGCGGCAAGCUCCACUUUUUGGACACCCUGAGAAUAUGUCCCCAGUCACUCCCCGUGGCCUCACCCAGAAAAAGAAGGGAGUGCCUGGGAGAAUCUGGAGAAUCUGGAGAUGUCUGUCUGAGUAUAUUUGUUUGGGCUGCGCAGCAAGAGGGCUAUUAUAAAGUGCUACCAGAAACAGCCAAUGGAUGACCUGCCAAGCUCCCCAGGAC